AUCGAACGCUGGCGGCAGGCCUAAUACAUGCAAGUCGAGCGGAGCGGCGGACGGGUGAGUGAGGCCUAGGUAUCUGCCUGGUAGUGGCGGCCCACGUCCGGAAACGGGAGCCUAUGCCGCAUACUAUCAGAUGAGCUUAGGUCGGAUCAGCUAGUUGGUGGGGUAAAGGCUUACCAAGGUGAUGAUCCGUCACUGGACUGAGAGGAUGAUCAGUCACACUGGGACUGAGACACGGUCCAGACUCCUACGGGAGGCAGCAGUGGGGAAUAUUGGACAAUGGACGAAAGCCUGAUCCAGCCAUGCCGCGUGUGUGAAGAAGGUCUGCGGAUUGUAAAGCACUUUGAUUUGGGAGGCGUUACCAACAGAGUAAGCACCGGCUAACUACGUGCCAGCAGCCGCGGUAAUUC
rnacentral:rRNA from 1 species